rnacentral:lncRNA from 1 species
AAAAUAUACAGAUAUAUUUAUAUUAUCAAAAGGCCCCCAAAGUGGGGAAGGGACACCAGGCGGCCUGGGCCCUCCCAGUCAGCCUAGACCAGAGGAGGCUCCUCAAGUCCCCCAGCCCCAGUUCUAGGCUAUAGAGAAACUUACCCAAGAGCUCCCUCCCUAUCCCAGCUGAGUGUUCCUUUAGAGCAUCCACUUUUUGCUGUUCUGGAGUUUGUGACAAGAGGGUGGGCUCCCUUCCAGCGGGGGCCCCAGGGCUUCGAGCCUCUGCAAGGAUGGUGGUCCUCCAGAGUUUCUGAAUGAUGCACAUCCCAUCUCUCCAACCCCUCGUGGGUGACCCUGGAGGGGGGAGCAGGCCAGGCCAGGAGAAGCACCCAGACAACAGAUGAGGGGUCCUCCUCAGGCAGACCCUGCUGCCCCCCACUUCCUGGCCAGGGAACCCCAUGUUGCAACCAGGAUGUGGGAUGUGGGGUGCGGCUUCCUCAUGCAUCCCCUGCUGGUUCACACCAGGCACGCAGGGCACGAGGGUGUCUGAACAGGAAGGCUUCAGGGCGGCAGAGUCUCAGAGCCAGGGGCUGGCUUCUGCGCUCAGACGUUGCGGAGGAGCUGUGGGAAGGUACAGAAGCCCAGAUUCCAUAAGCACUUUGUGAAGGUUCACAGGGACCAGCGGCCCUGCUGAAGCUUCUGCAGCUGCUCUGUAGUGCUGGCUUGGGAGUGCUCAGGUCAGCCGGGGUCCCCAGGGCCAGGUAGAGAGGGGGCUCCUGAGAGCUACAUGAACCAAAAGAGCCCGUCAGGACUGCUAGGAGGCUGGAGGGAGGGGGCCAGGGGGCAAUCGGGUGAGUCAGGUGGGAGGCGGGCAGCAGCCAGGUCCCAGGGCUCUGCCCAUAGGGAUGGAAAACUACUCACAGAAAGGGGGUCCGCAGCAAAGGCGGCCACACUCCUUCGCAUUUCGUUCUCACUGCCGCGCAGAGGGAUCAACGAAACACUGCCCAGCCGGACCUCAGGCACUGCCCGGGAUACACGGGAGGGCUCCGGGGGCCACACCAGGCCGUCAUGCUGGGGAGCAGGGGAAGAGGAGGACGCUCAGCUCACCCAGACACUCAGCUCCAGAUCCACCCACCCUUCCCAGAAACGCCUCCAGCUAUGAUCUGAGGUGACCCUCUCAGCUUUGAUCCCAGUCGAUAUGAGAAGCAGCUGUUAGGAGAACAUGACUGUAUCCCUGGCAGAACCCAGCCAGUUAUGUUACUCAACAACCCCCACCUCCAGGUCCACAAACAAACUGCUCCAAGAAUGCAGCACCAAGAAAACAGUUCUAGAGGAACAUGUGUGUGCUUUCUUUCACCACGAACCAACAAAACUAUAGAAUCUGCCUGUUUCUCUUUAGGCUUGACUACCAGGAAGCUCGGGGCUAAAAGAACUCAGCCCACAGCCCUGGCACCGUUCUGUCAGCCUUUUCCCUAAACAAUUCUGAGCUCUGGUUUAAAAUCUGUGGCUUAAGUCCAACCCCUCCCACUCCCAACCCCUCACCCCAGCCCUGCUCUGGCUCCAAGCCCCUCCUAGCCUGUUCCCACCUGGCCCACUGCGGCAGCCACCUCACUCCUUCAGCCUGUCCUCCCCUGCACGCUACAUCUAGAGCGAGCCCUCUCAGAUGCAAACUUGCACACCACUUUCUUGCUUAAAACUCUCCCUGAAAACUGCUGACUAGGUCAAGUUCAGCUCCCUUGGCAUGGCCUUCAAGGCUCUUUCAGAUCUGGCUCCUGAAUCUCUUUCCAGUGUCAACUUCUGGUACUCCUGGCUUCUCUUUACACCCCACUGGGCAAUCUGUGGUUCUGUUGCCAUGCCUUUCAAUAAACUGUUCCUUCUGCCUAGAAGCCUCCCCGACCUGCCCCCGCCCCCCCACCUCCAACCGCCUUUGCUUGAUGAAGGCUUCCUCAUCCUCAGACUCAGCUCCUAUGACACCCCCUCCCUGCUGCCUUCCCUCCACACCCACCACCUCCAGCGGGUAGGGUCCCUGGGCUUUUCUCUAUCUCUAUACACUGACCACAUUGGGCUAUUUAACAGGCAACUUCAAGGUCUGUUUUCCUUUCUACAUGGGGAGUGCCUGAGGGCAGGGGUCUGCACUCUGUCUCUAGCAUGCCUGGCUUGGGGUUGCACCAAAGUGGACUCUAGGGAGGGUUUGCUGAGUGAAGAAAAGAAUUAAAAGCAACUCAAAAUCUCCUUGAUGCAAUUGAUGCCCUAUGUAGUGAAGAAGCAAACACACCCAUUCUCCAUAAUGGAAGCCUCACGGGACCCCACCCUGAGCUGGUACCUGCACAAAGAGGAAGGUGGCAAACCACUCCCGGAGCUCCAUCUGUGUCUCACAGCAGAGGUACCUGCGGGGCGAGGCAGGGCACGGAUCUGGACACUGCCAAGGCUGAGCAGCCUGCCUGGCUCUCCAGGCAGGGUGCAUAUAUGGACAAUAAAGGGACCCAACCAAAGGGAACAUGCAACCAUCUCUCCCAACCUGGGGUCUCAGGCCAGGGCCCUUACUCACCACUGCUGCUUCUCAUGUUUCUCUGUCUCGUGCACCACUGUGAAGCCCCAGCUGCAGAGGAGGGGCAGAUGGAGUCACUUGCCAGCCCACAGAGGCCUCCCAGCCCAGGUGCCCGGGACGGAGCCCAGAAGCCUGGGCCAGAGCCGAGGGGCACAGUUCAGGGCCUUCUUGCAAGCACGGCACAUUCUGGCCACAGCCUCUUCCUCUCACAGCUCACACCAGCCUCCCAGGCCCUUGGCUCCCUAUACCCAUGCCACCCCACCCAGGCCUGCCCUAGUCUCUGAGAGACAGCUAGGCACAGCCAGCAGAUGAGAGGAGAAAGUCAGAAAACCAAGUCUGGUGGCUGUAAUUAACAACAAUAAUAGUGGCUAUGCAUCACUUUUCCACUUAAAAGCAUACUACAACCACCCUUUGAAACAGGUGCACCAUUAUUUUCCACAUUCUACACAUGUGGGAAGUGAGGCACAGGAAGAUCCCUGAGGUAGUCAGUGACAGGAUUUCAAUCAAGGCCAGUGGUUCUCAAACAUGAGCAAACAUCAGAGUCGCCAAAAUGGCUUGUUACCAUACAGACUGCGGGCCCCACCCCCUAGGAUCCGUGACUCAGCAGGUCUGGGGUGGGACCAAGAUGUGGGCUGCUAACAUGUUUCCAGGUAAUGCUGAGGCUGCUGGUCUGGGAGAUCACACCUUCAGAACCAUGGUAUCAACCCCUGUCAAGUUCAAAGCCCCCACUGUGCCGCAACCCCACCCCACCCCCACCCCAAUCUGUUCUGAGCUCUCCCAGGCCCCAGCCCCGGCUAACCAGGUGGGUGGCCGGAGUUUCUUCUUCACUCCCAGGUAGACUUUGAGACUCCUGACGGGCCACUCCUUCUCAGGCCGGUGACUCUGGGGUGGGGGCAGGCAGAGGGAUGACACUUCAGUCGGUCAGGGCGGGAAUUGGGGUGACUGGGUACCUCCCUCCUCCCUCUUCCCACCCCCCAUUUGCAUCCCAGCACAGGGAACCUCCUGACAAAGCCCUUCCUGUUCACAAUCCAGCCCAACUAACCUCCCCACUCCCCCCAGGUUUCUCUCCCUGCAGCAGCAUCAGACAGUCAACCCUCAGUCCCCGAGGCAGCCGUUCCAGCAGGACGACCAGGGAGUGAUUCUCAGUCCCUUCCUGCUGCCCUACAAACUGGAGAACUGACUUGUAGCAUCAGCUGAAUCAGUUUGUCUAUGGAGGGAGAAGUCUGCACCUCGCCCUCUGGCACCAAACUGAAUGAGCGUGUAUGAUCUGAGAGCCUCGGUUGGCUGCUUGGGUCUGUUUGUCUCCGGUUAUAGAUUCCUCGCCCCUCUCCACCCCACGGAGGCUCCAGGGUUGACCGUGUGAACAGAAGACCUGUUGGGUCAGCAAUUACUAGCUCUUUGGUUCCACGAGGGGAAGGCUAAUGACUCAAGCUGAAGCAGAACUGCUGUUUGGUAGACCAAAGGAAGAACUUUCCAGUGGUCUAGGUCAGGAAGCAAGAGACCGAUGUACUGGGGAGGGGCACCAGAUCACUGACAUGCUCACCUCUGGCCCCCACCUCUGCAUAUGGGUCUGGGCUUGGAAGGAACAGGCUGGCUCCGAGACAGAGGUAUGGGAGCAAUGACCCCCAAGGUAAAGGCUAAUUGGAAGUCAAGCUAAUGAGCCUUCCUUCUGCUCUGGGAGUCACCUGCUCGAAGCCCUACCCCCACCAGGCUCCCGGCACCAGUAGGGCACCAGGAUGGAUGGUAGGGGAGGGGGACUCACUUACAACCAAAACUGGGGGUCAAAGUUUGAGCCACCUCCACCCUGUUCCCACCAUUGCUCCUAGCCACCCCCAGGCAUGGCUCCUCAGCAGGAACAAAAAGAAGGGACUAAGGGAUGGCCAGGGAGAUGGAAAGUUUCAGGGAUUGGUAGACUCCCUGUGAGGCUGCAAAAGGAUGGGCUGCCUAGAUAAGUGGAGACUUGGGUGCUGUCACAGGGAAUGUGGUUUAAGAGGGCUUACUAGAGACCUUUUACCUUGCUUUUGCCCUGAUCCUCCCUGAGGACCAAGUGCCCAAGGGGGCAUGGAAGAAACUGGGCUGUGGACAGGGAGGAAACCGGGCAGUGGGGUCGGAAACCAGGCUGUAAAUAAGGGGUGGGCAAAUACAAGAAAGAAACCUCCAAGCCAGCAGGAAAGAAGCAAGGCUGAGAGUGCUGAAGAAGUCAGACUGCAGGGUGGAAGGAACCAGGUAGUGGAGAUGGAAAGACUUGAGACAGAGGUUGCAAAAGAAGUUAGGCUGUAGACAUGAAAACAGCAGGCUCUGGGCACGACAGAAGAAAGGACGUGGGGAAAACCCAUGUUGCAAGUAUGGAAGGCAGCAGGCUGAGGGAAUGGAAAGCAGGCUGAGGGCUCGGAGGAAGUUGAGCUGUGGGUGCCAGGGAGGGAGAACUAGAAGCAAGGAGUAGAUGAGUUGACAGUGGAAGGAACAGGCUCGUGGGUGUGACAGAAACAACGGUUCCAGUCAGGGCGUGGAGAGAAUUGUGGGAAUCAAGGAAUUCAAACCAGGCUGUGGCUCCCUGAAAAUUCGAAAAAACAAUCCUCAGGCCUCCACUCCCUCAGGCUCUGGUGUGUGUGGUGUAUGCGCAGCACGUGUGUGACAGGAGUAUGGCUGAGACAGGAAGGUUGAGGGGGAGAUUUGGGGAGCGAGGGGUACAUCAGACAACGCAGGACUUCGUUUCUAAUCAAAGAGCUCAUGUUUCCAGCAUUGCUGAGGUAUGAGGUCACUGGAAAGAAUAAAAUUCACCCCUUGAUGCUCAAAGACCUCUGCUGGAGCCAAGACUGUUCUAGAAUGUGCCUUUCCCAGGUGCUUCAAGGUCUUUAACAAUGGAAGAUGCCCAGGCCUUGGCCUGGGUAUUCGCAUAUCCUGAAUUGCUGGGUGUUGUCCCAAUUUCAAAUAUUCUGUUCUGUUCCUCCAUAAAAUAGCAAAUGCCGGAAUUACCAACACCUCAGUAGCCAAACCACACCCUCCUGGGGCUUCUGUCAGGGCAGAGGUGUGGCUGCCAUUCAGAGAGCAGCACUGAUCAGCUCCGCCAAAGAGUCCCUGUUUCCUGUACUUCAAGGAAUAAAGAGCUAGAGCUCUGAUGGGGCUACCUAGAGAUGGCCUUAGGCAAGGCACUCGAAGCCUGUUUUCUCACCUGUGAAAUGGGGAUAAUACCCCUCCUCCGGAGGACGCUCGUGGGAGGACAUGUCCUAGUAUGUGGAGGGCUGGGCACCAAACCUGGCUCACUUAAACAUUAGAUCUUUUUCCUUUCUCUAGUUCUCGUGCCAUUUCCCCUCCAUGCUAAGGGAUUAGCAGCUGCUUUUUCAGGUGCCUCAGCCACCCUCCUUCCUCUCUGCCCACAAUGAUGGUCUUGCUCCGCUCCAAGUACCAUCAUAAGGAGGGCAUCAGGGAAAUAACAUCCCAGAACCAAGGGAGACUGAGUGGAGGGGUGAACAGGCCCAGAAGUAAGUAAUCAUAGAGGGAGGCAAAAGAGAGAAGAGGAGGCAUUGCCUACGAGGAUCUGUAGGAGCCCAGGCUGCAUUAGUAGAGGUAUAAUGUGCAAAGAGAGGGAGGCGAGGAUCCUGGUCUAUCUGCUCUGCUCCCUCCAUGACAUCUAGACCUGCCCAGUGUCCUCAGGAGAGGCAAGGGACAGGAAGGGCUGGAAUCACUGGUGGGAAUAGCUAUGGGAGAUCCGGUUAGACCCUUGGAUUGGAAAUACAUUUCUGCUGCCCAUUACUACAGCACAUCUAUGCUCUGUGGCCCCUAAGGCAUCGCUGGAACCCACAGGAGCAUCACAGGUGGCAGGUUCUCAGCUGAACUUGAGCAAGGGCCUUCUCCCGGCAAAACUAUCCCUCUAGGGAUAGGGCAGUCCCAAGGGAGGCGUGGAUAAGCUCCCCUCUCCCAGAAGUGUGCAUGUAAGGGUUGGCAACCAGCCAGGGAGGCUGAGCGGGAACUCCUACCACAGGUGAACUAUACCACAAGCCCAUUUAGUCUCACCCCAGCAUUUUAGGAUCAGGGUAGUAGCAUGGGCAUUCUGAUAGUCUUGAAACUCUCUCCAUGGUUGGGACAAGGAUGGCUCCAGGGGUGGCAGGAGAUGAGGGUCAGAGCUCUAAUUCAAACCUAGGGGCCUCUGAUACUGGCUCCACAGCCUCCACACCUAGUCUUUUGGAAAACUGUAAAGCAUCACACUGAUGGGGGCUCAACCUUCUUGGGAAAAGGACUCUGGGGCAUGGGUGGGGAUGAAGGACAGGAGCCCAGGACACAAGCCCAAAGAUGGGAGCCAGUGCUGAUAGGCAAGAGGGCAGGGAACCAUGCCUGAAGGUAGCGAAGAGCUCUGGCUGUGUCCCCAGGCUCCCGCCAGGCUCACUUGGCCCCCAGGUGGUGUAAGGCAGCUAGCAGUUGGCCCACAGCUACUCACGGUCUCAGGGGCCCCGCUCCAUGGCCUCUGGCUCUGUUUGAUAGAGGAUCAGAGUUAUGGAAGAAGGAGGUCUGGGUCCACAGCCAGGACAGUGUGUGUGGUGGUGCAUGGCGGGAUGUGGCAGGUAUGUGCAGAAGAUGUUGGGGGCAGGGUGCCAAGACCUGGGAGGCCGCCUGGCAUGUGGACAGAGUGGGCAUGGAGGAGGUACAGCCUGUGAAGUGACAAGAUGUGCAUGGGCCACGACGGGGGCUGUCACCACAUAGCAUGUUCUUGUGGGUGCCGUGACAAGGCACAGGCACAGGUGAGACAUCAUGAGCCUGACGUGAUGGCACCAGAGACUAGCGCCUAGUGGGGCUACAGGGCACAGAAGAGCGGCCACCGAGGGCCACAGCAGAAGAUUCCUGAGAGUCUAUAGCUCUCCUCCACCACUGUGCCACCCCAAGACCCCGCGAUGGGGUUGCUCCCACUGGCAGACACUGGUGAAUGUUUGUGAAUGGGUGUGUGAGCACACUUGGGUACAGACGCUCAUUGCAGGGCACGACCCCCUGGGGUCACUUACCCGGACCUCCUUGUAGAGCCGCAGGCAGCUGCUGUUGAGGAUGAAGUAUCGGUCGUGAAAGCCACCUGAGGGCAGGCCCAGGCCCAGGAGGCUACGGUCCUCACGGAACUUCAUCAUGCCGUGCUUGGUGUCGCCUACGUGGCUGGCUGGGGGAAGACCGGAGUGGGCGUGGGCUGCACCAACCCCCUGCCCAUGGAUACAGACACCCAGGGGAGCAUGCCAGGAUGAAGGAAACUGCCCCAGCCUGCCCCAGCCACCAAAGAGGCCUGCCCACAUGGCACCCUCUGCCCAAGCUGCUCCUGCCUGGGCUUCAGAUGGAGGGACCCACCAGUCUGCCCAGCCCUGCAGGCGCCACCCACCCAGGCACACCACCUACCCAGGUACAGCAGCAUGGCCUCCAUGGACUGGUGCUUCUUCACCACCAGGUAGCUGUCCGUGCCCAGCCCGUGCAGGAUGGGCAGCACCUUCUCCGCAAAGUGCAGGGGGCGCUCUG